rnacentral:rRNA from 1 species
UUUCGCAAUGCCCGAAAGGGUGACGAAGCGACGCCGCGUGUGGGAAGAAGGCCUUCGGGUUGUAAACCACUGUCGGGAGUUAAGAAAGGCGGGAGAGUGAAUAGCUUUCCUGUUUUGACGAAAGCUCCGGAGGAAGCCACGGCUAACUCUGUGCCAGCAGCCGCGGUAAUACAGAGGUGGCAAGCGUUGUUCGGAAUUAUUGGGCGUAAAGGGCACGUAGGCGGCCCUGCAAGUCAGUUGUGAAAUCCUUCCGCUUAACGGAAGAACGGCAGGUGAUACUACAGGGCUAGAGUGCGGUAGGGGAGAGCGGGACUUCUGGUGGAGCGGUGAAAUGCGUAGAUAUCAGAAGGAACACCGGCGGCGAAAGCGGCUCUCUGGUCCGUAACUGACGCUGAGGUGCGAAAGCUAGGGGAGCAAACGGGAUUAGAUACCCCGGUAGUCCUAGCCGUAAACGAUGGGCACUAAGUAGAGGGGUUUU